rnacentral:rRNA from 1 species
UACGGAGGGUGCGAGCGUUGUCCGGAAUCAUUGGGCGUAAAGGGCGCGUAGGUGGCGGGACAAGCGUGCGGUGAAAGCCUGGGGCUCAACCCCGGGUCGGCCGUGCGAACUGUUUUUGCUUGAGCACUGUAGAGGCAGGCGGAAUUCCGGGUGUAGCGGUGGAAUGCGUAGAGAUCCGGAAGAACACCGGUGGCGAAGGCGGCCUGCUGGGCGGUAGCUGACACUGAGGCGCGACAGCGUGGGGGGAGCAAACAGG